GAACUAGUUGAUCAGCCAUGCAGAAGGAAAAGAAUCCUAAAAUGGGUUUUUGGAAAAAUUGAAAUCAGAGAAUCACCAACUAAAAAUAAGUAAAAUUAACUGAAUUUUAUCAAAAUCUUUUGGUUUUCACUACAGAAAAAAGAUUAUGUGUCCUAAAUGUGUUCAUCUUUACACUCUUAAUGAUUUGAGUUUCAUCAAUUCUAGGGUGGAUUUUGGGGAUUGGAUAGAGAAUAGCAGUGGAACAUAUAAUAAGUGGGAUGCAGUAUCCACAACACAGGUAUUUCCAUUGGUCCAUGAUAUUUGUUCCAUUAUUCCUUGACUUCCUUUGUUCUAAGAUUAUAAAGAUGAAAAGAGAAUUGCUUCUUUUCACUGGCUAUGUAGAUCCAUAUAUCUGCUUGUAUUGCAGUUACUUUUAAUGGUUGAAUAAAAUAAAUGAUGAAUGCUUCCUUGUGUAUAACAUAUUUCAGUGAAAUUCAUAUUAGCAAACUUUUCAUUGCAUUAGCUAAUCUAUUAGGGAAUAUCAUAUCAGAAUACAAUGACUUAUUAUCUAAGAAAAACAUCAUUGAAGGAGGUAGUUUCUUAGAUGGUCUUGAGGUAUGUGUUGCAUUUGGAAGUGUGUACAAGCAGUCUUUGUCUUAUAUUAGUGGAGGACAACGGUCUCUUCUUGUACUCUCUCUCAUUUUAGCUCUGCUUCUCUUCAAACCAACACCUUUAAUAUUGUUGCUCACGGCCCAAAAUGAAAUGUUGAAGAUGGACAAGGCUAAUCUCAAGAGGAAGGUUGCAGAAUUGGAUGCGAUCAAGUUCAGACUGUUGGAUUGUAUGUGUUGAAAAGAAUUUUCUAGAGGGAACUUGGUGAAAGCACAAACAUGGAAAAUAAUUCUUUCAUUCUCUUUUCUGCUAGAGAACUCCUUGGAGAUAUUUUCUCUUUAAUUCAUAAGAUCUCAGAGGUACUUCCCAUCUGAAUUUAUGGCAUAUAAGCUAACUAGUUUUCAUCAUGUGCUUCUAAAAGAGCUGUCUUAUCCUCUUGAUUUCAGAAUCGCUUGUUAUUAUUGGUGAAUGCUUGAGACUUCUGGUUCUCCUACACGCAUUGUCACAAGCAAGUGAACGUCAAAAAG